rnacentral:rRNA from 1 species
AGAGUUUGAUCCUGGCUCAGGAUGAACGCUGGCGGCGUGCUUAACACAUGCAAGUCGAACGGACUUUAUAUGAAGCCUAGCGAUUAUAAAGUUAGUGGCGGACGGGUGAGUAACGCGUGAAUAACCUGCCCUGUACCGGGGGACAACAGUUGGAAACGGCUGCUAAUACCGCAUAAGCGCACGGUUCCGCAUGGAACAGUGUGAAAAACUCCGGUGGUACAGGAUGGAUUCGCGUCUGAUUAGCCAGUUGGUGGGGUAACGGCCUACCAAAGCAACGAUCAGUAGCCGGCCUGAGAGGGUGAACGGCCACAUUGGGACUGAGACACGGCCCAAACUCCUACGGGAGGCAGCAGUGGGGAAUAUUGCACAAUGGGGGAAACCCUGAUGCAGCGACGCCGCGUGAGUGAAGAAGUAUUUCGGUAUGUAAAGCUCUAUCAGCAGGGAAGAAAAUGACGGUACCUGACUAAGAAGCCCCGGCUAACUACGUGCCAGCAGCCGCGGUAAUACGUAGGGGGCAAGCGUUAUCCGGAUUUACUGGGUGUAAAGGGAGCGUAGACGGCACAGCAAGUCUGAUGUGAAAGCCCGGGGCCCAACCCCGGAACUGCAUUGGAAACUGUUGGGCUUGAGUGCAGGAGAGGUAAGCGGAAUUCCUAGUGUAGCGGUGAAAUGCGUAGAUAUUAGGAGGAACACCAGUGGCGAAGGCGGCUUACUGGACUGUAACUGACGUUGAGGCUCGAAAGCGUGGGGAGCAAACAGGAUUAGAUACCCUGGUAGUCCACGCCGUAAACG